AGUAAGGUCAGCUAAAUAAGCUUUUGGGCCCA
rnacentral:tRNA from 1 species